UACCUGCAGCUCAAGUGGUGACCGCUAUUAUUGGGCCUAAAACGUUCGUAGCCGGCUGAGUAAAUGCUUGGGUAAAUCGUGCCGCUUAACGGUACGAAUUCCGGGUAGACUGCUCAGCUUGAGACCGGGAGAAGCUAGAGGUACUCCUAGGGUAGAGGUGAAAUUCUGUAAUCCUGGGUGGACCACCAGUGGCGAAGGCGUCUAGCUAGAACGGGUCUGACGGUGAGGGACGAAACCCUGGGGCGCAAACCGGAUUAGAUACCCGGGUAGUCCAGGGCGCAAACGCUGCUUGCUUGAUGUUAGUUGGGCUCCGGGCUCAGCUAGUGUCGGAGAGAAGUUGUUAAGCAAGCUGCCUGGGAAGUACGAUCGCAAGAUUAGAAAACUUAAAGGAAUUGGCGGGGGAGCACAGCAACGGGUGGAGCGUGCGGUUU
rnacentral:rRNA from 1 species